rnacentral:piRNA from 1 species
CCCUAAAAUUAGGUCAUGGCGCUGUCUC